rnacentral:rRNA from 1 species
GACGAACCGUACGAACGUUAUUCGGAAUCACUGGGCUUAAAGGGCGCGUAGGCGGCGCAGCAAGUUGGGUGUGAAAUCCCUCGGCUCAACCGAGGAACUGCGCCCAAAACUACUGUGCUCGAGGGAGACAGAGGUGAGCGGAACUUAGGGUGGAGUGGUGAAAUGCGUAGAGAUCCGGAGGAACACCAAAGGCGAAGGCAGUGUCCUGGGGAGUACCUGACGCUCAGGUGCGAAAGCCAGGGGAGCGAACGGG